rnacentral:misc_RNA from 1 species
GAUGAAGAACGCAGCGAAAUGCGAUAAGUAAUGUGAAUUGCAGAAUUCAGUGAAUCAUCGAAUCUUUGAACGCACAUUGCGCCCCCUUGGUAUUCCGGGGGGCAUGCCUGUCCGAGCGUCAUUACAACCCUCAAGCUCAGCUUGGUGUUGGGCCCCGCCGCCCCGGCGGGCCCUAAAGUCAGUGGCGGUGCCGUCCGGCUCCGAGCGUAGUAAUUCUUCUCGCUCUGGAGGUCCGGUCGUGUGCUCGCCAGCAACCCCCAAUUUUUUUCAGGUUGACCUCGGAUCAGGUAGGGAUACCCGCUGAACUUAAGCAUAUCAAUAAGCGGAGGA